ACACGCAUGACACACUGCAUAUCAAUAAGCGGAGGAAAAGAAACUAACAAGGAUUCCCUUAGUAACGGCGAGUGAAGCGGGAAGAGCUCAAAUUUGAAAUCUUCAAGGUUCUACCUUGACGAAUUGUAGUUUAUAGAAGUGUUUUCUGUUAGUGGAGUGGCAAAAGUUCUUUGGAAUAGGACAUCAUAGAGGGUGAGAAUCCCGUAUUUGGUCAUUCCUCCUAGCGUUGUGAUACACUUUCAACGAGUCGGAUUGUUUGGGAAUGCAGUCCAAAAUGGGUGGUAAAUUUCAUCUAAAGCUAAAUAUUGGCGAGAGACCGAUAGCGAACAAGUACCGUGAGGGAAAGAUGAAAAGAACUUUGAAAAGAGAGUUAAACAGUACGUGAAAUUGUCAAAAGGGAAGCGUUUGACACCAGUGUUGUUUUUCGGAAAAUCAAUUAAAAAUUGAUUCAUGCCAGGUUGUAUUGACCUUAUCAGCUUGCAAUUUGGUUUUGGGUCUCUUUUUGAUGCACUUUUCGGUUAACAAGUCAACAUCAAUUUCCUUUGCUGUAAAAAGGUAAGAGGAAGGUGGCUUGCACUUCGGCUCGAAGUGUUUAUAGCCUUUUAUCUCUGCAGUCGGAGAGAUUGAGGUCUGCAGCGUAGAUCCUUCGGGGUUAGAUACAUUAGUGCUAAGCUAUAGCCUUGUAUAGACAACUUGUUGACUAUGCUUCAGUCAUGUAGCUUACUCGCUAAGUGCUAUUUUACCUACGCUUAGGAUGUUGACUGAUAUGUAGUCGUA
rnacentral:rRNA from 1 species